rnacentral:rRNA from 1 species
ACGCUGGCGGCAGGCUUAACACAUGCAAGUCGAACGGUAACAGGGAUUAGCUUGCUAAUUUGCUGACGAGUGGCGGACGGGUGAGUAAUGCUUGGGAAUCUGGCUUAUGGAGGGGGAUAACUACGGGAAACUGUAGCUAAUACCGCGUAAUAUCGGAAGAUUAAAGGGUGGGACUUUCGAGCCACCUGCCAUAAGAUGAGCCCAAGUGGGAUUAGGUAGUUGGUUAGGUAAAGGCUGACCAAGCCGACGAUCUCUAGCUGGUCUGAGAGGAUGACCAGCCACACUGGAACUGAGACACGGUCCAGACUCCUACGGGAGGCAGCAGUGGGGAAUAUUGCACAAUGGGGGGAACCUUGAUGCAGCCAUGCCGCGUGAAUGAAGAAGGCCUUCGGGUUGUAAAGUUCUUUCGGCGACGAGGAAGGUUGAUAGGUUAAUAGCCUAUCAAAUUGACGUUAAUCACAGAAGAAGCACCGGCUAACUCCGUGCCAGCAGCCGCGGUAAUACGGGGGGUGCGAGCGUUAAUCGGAAUAACUGGGCGUAAAGGGCACGCAGGCGGUGACUUAAGUGAGAUGUGAAAGCCCCGAGCUUAACUUGGGAAUUGCAUUUCAUACUGGGUCGCUAGAGUACUUUAGGGAGGGGUAGAAUUCCACGUGUAGCGGUGAAAUGCGUAGAGAUGUGGAGGAAUACCGAAGGCGAAGGCAGCCCCUUGGGAAUGUACUGACGCACAUGUGCGAAAGCGUGGGGAGCAAACAGGAUUAGAUACCCUGGUAGUCCACGCUGUAAACGAUGUCGAUUUGGGGAUUGGGCUUUGAGCUUGGUGCCCGUAGCUAACGUGAUAAAUCGACCGCCUGGGGAGUACGGCCGCAAGGUUAAAACUCAAAUGAAUUGACGGGGGCCCGCACAAGCGGUGGAGC